GCUGGCAGUACUGAAUUUCGGCCUUGAGGUCCCGCAGGUCUUGGUAUUCCCCCCGGUACUGCUUCUUCAGUUCCUUCAGCUUCAGAAUUAAGGGAGUCCACACUAGAGUAAUUGGGAUGAAGAGGAAUCCCCACCAAACAUGUAUCAAAUGGUCCCCAGCUUGGUCCUGCAGCCUGGGCUUCCAAGCUGCACCACUGAAGAAGCACUGAGAUAGGAAAAGGUGUCUGAGAAACUUGGUGCGAAUCGACUGCCCCAAGAUAAGGAGAAGACGUAAGCAUUCUGCCCCAAUGCAAGAAGCCACCUUCUCUGGAAAAGGUCUGGUGAUGGAGAAUCCCAAGCAGGAGUUCCAGUCUAGAAAAGCCCU